UACGUAGGGCGCAAGCGUUGUCCGGAAUUAUUGGGCGUAAAGAGCUCGUAGGCGGUUUGUCGCGUCGGCUGUGAAAACUCGGGGCUCAACCCCGAGCCUGCAGUCGAUACGGGCAGACUAGAGUGCGGUAGGGGAGACUGGAAUUCCUGGUGUAGCGGUGAAAUGCGCAGAUAUCAGGAGGAACACCGGUGGCGAAGGCGGAUCUCUGGGCCGUAACUGACGCUGAGGAGCGAAAGCAUGGGGAGCGAACAGG
rnacentral:rRNA from 1 species